rfam:Yarrowia lipolytica strain CLIB122 chromosome B complete sequence.
GACUUCGUGGCCAAGUUGGUUAAGGCGUACGACUGUUAGUCACCUAAAUGGCCGCCAUCGUAAGAUCGAGAGUUCGACCCUCUCCGAGGUCG